AUGGAAAAGUAUUGGUGGAGCAGCUCCGCUGACAAACAUUCAUUACACUGGAUUUCUUGGGAGAAGCUAGCUACACUGAAGACCAAGGGAGGCAUGGGAUUCUGAGAUUUUGAGAAGUUCAACUUGGCACUUCUCGGGCAACAAGGAUGGCGCUUGAUUAUACAUCCUCGCUCAGUAUGCUCACGUGUACUCAAAGGGAAGUACUUCCAGGAGUGUGAUUUUAUGCAGGCUCAAGCUCCAGGUAAAUCUUCAGCAACAUGGAAAGCGAUCAUAUUCGGGAGAGAAGCACUGCAAAUGGGGUUGUUGAAACGAGUGGGGGACGGCUCAACAAUUUGCAUAUGGAAUGAUUGGUGGAUUCCUGACUCAACCACAUUGAAACCAAUUUGCAGAGUAGGAAAUGAGGACCUCACUCAUGUUUCGGACCUCAUUAAUCAAAACAGAUAUUGGGACAUCAAAACAAUCAAGAGAAAUUUCUUUGCACCAGACACAACUGCCAUUCUUAAUAUCCUUUUGUGGGCAUCAGGUGGAGAAGAUACUUUGAGUUGGGCAUUAGAAAGAUCAGGUGAAUAUUCAGUCAAAACAACAUAUCAUGCUCUUGUGACUCAUGACGAGCAUCGAUCUCUAGAGGAAGGGGCGGCAGCAGGGACUUCAUCAUCAGAUCUUCACCUUUGGUCUGCUCUAUGGAAACUCAAGGUAAUCCUGAGAGUUUGGGUCUUUUGA
rnacentral:rRNA from 1 species